AGAAAGCUGAGGAUUUCUGAGUACGUCUGGCAGCAGCACUGGCACGGCCGUUUGGCUGUUGGUGCGGCCGACAACUCAGCUCGUCUUCCUGGUCAGAAAAGAGGACAAAAAUAUUUCUUCAACCACGGAAUAACAGACUCCACACUAUGCUGUAGCAGUAGACACUGUAGAAGGAAUUGGUGAAAAUUGUAGAUCAGUGUGAAUCUAGGAAACACUCACGUCCACCUGAUAUUUGGAGCCUUCACUGCUGACCAGCAGCCCCUUCUCAGCCUCCAGCUCUAAAACCUC